GCGGAGGAAAAGAAACCAACAGGGAUUGCCCUAGUAACGGCGAGUGAAGCGGCAACAGCUCAAAUUUGAAAUCUGGCUUCGGCCCGAGUUGUAAUUUGCAGAGGAAGCUUUAGGCGCGGCACCUCCUGAGUCCCCUGGAACGGGGCGCCACAGAGGGUGAGAGCCCCGUAUAGUUGGAUGCCUAGCCUGUGUAAAGCUCCUUCGACGAGUCGAGUAGUUUGGGAAUGCUGCUCAAAAUGGGAGGUAAAUUUCUUCUAAAGCUAAAUACCGGCCAGAGACCGAUAGCGCACAAGUAGAGUGAUCGAAAGAUGAAAAGCACUUUGAAAAGAGGGUUAAAUAGCACGUGAAAUUGUUGAAAGGGAAGCGCUUGUGACCAGACUUGCGCCGGGCUGAUCAUCCGGUGUUCUCACCGGUGCACUCUGCCCGGCUCAGGCCAGCAUCGGUUCUCGCGGGGGGAUAAAGGCCCUGGGAACGUAGCUCCUCCGGGAGUGUUAUAGCCCGGGGCGCAAUGCCCUCGCGGGGACCGAGGUUCGCGCUCUGCAAGGAUGCUGGCGUAAUGGUCAUCAGCGACCCGUCUUGAAACACGGACCAAGGAGUCAAGGUUUUGCGCGAGUGUUUGGGUGUAAAACCCGCACGCGUAAUGAAAGUGAACGUAGGUGAGAGCUUCGGCGCAUCAUCGACCGAUCCUGAUGUUCUCGGAUGGAUUUGAGUAGGAGCGUUAAGCCUUGGACCCGAAAGAUGGUGAACUAUGCUUGGAUAGGGUGAAGCCAGAGGAAACUCUGGUGGAGGCUCGCAGCGGUUCUGACGUGCAAAUCGAUCGUCAAAUCUGAGCAUGGGGGCGAAAGACUAAUCGAACCAUCUAGUAGCUGGUUACCGCCAAU
rnacentral:rRNA from 1 species